rnacentral:tRNA from 1 species
GGGAACGUAGCAUAAUCUGGUAGUGUCGUCGGCUCCAACCCGACUUAUCUGGGUUCAAAUCCCAGCGUUCUCA